GGGGGUAUAGCUCAGUGGUAGAGCGUUACGUUGACAUCGUAAAGGUCACAGGUUCAAUCCUUGUUUCCCCCACCA
rnacentral:tRNA from 1 species